UUCCAUGCAGAGGGGACUAGAAAAGGGAAGUCAAGCAAAUGCGUGAACUGUCAGGGGAGCUGUGAGGUUUUUCCUGAAGCAAGAAAAUGUCGUUUCCUGGAGAGAAAGAGAAAGGCCAGAUCUUGGGGGACUUUGCUGGGUCAUCUGAGAAAUGUGGGCCUGUUGACAGCCUCCUUCUCUCAACAACACCUUCUACCCGAAGGUGACUGCUGUUGUUCAGUCGGACAUGUAAAGAUUUUAUUGCUUGUGUGAUUAUCUGCGAGGUGGCCCUCACCGGUAUUCAGCUGUGACGUCCAAGGGAACGAGGACAGGUUGCCAUCUGUCUUUCCUACUCCAUCAGCAGUCCCAUCCCCAAGUUGGUGCCACCGUAUCAUAUGAGUCAUAUUAUCUUUGUGGAGUAAAACUCAUAAAAAUAAUGGUAAUAAAUAAUAAAAACAGUGCCUUGCA